rnacentral:rRNA from 1 species
GAUGAACGCUGGCGGCGUGCCUAAUACAUGCCAGUCGAGCGAACGGACGAGAAGCUUGCUUCUCUGAUGUUAGCGGCGGACGGGUGAGUAACACGUGGAUAACCUACCUAUAAGACUGGGAUAACUUCGGGAAACCGGAGCUAAUACCGGAUAAUAUUUUGAACCGCAUGGUUCAAAAGUGAAAGACGGUCUUGCUGUCACUUAUCGAUGGAUCCGCGCUGCAUUAGCUAGUUGGUAAGGUAACGGCUUACCAAGGCAACGAUGCAUAGCCGACCUGAGAGGGUGAUCGGCCACACUGGAACUGGGACACGGUCCAGACUCCUACGGGAGGCAGCAGUAGGGAAUCUUCCGCAAUGGGCGAAAGCCUGACGGAGCAACGCCGCGUGAGUGAUGAAGGUCUUCGGAUCGUAAAACUCUGUUAUUAGGGAAGAACAUAUGUGUAAGUAACUGUGCACAUCUUGACGGUACCUAAUCAGAAAGCCACGGCUAACUACGUG